rnacentral:rRNA from 1 species
GACGAACGCUGGCGGCGUGCUUAACACAUGCAAGUCGAACGGUGAACCUCUUCGGAGGGGAUCAGUGGCGAACGGGCGAGUAACACGUGGGCAACCUGCCCCCGGCUCUGGGAUAACUCCAAGAAAUUGGGGCUAAUACCGGAUGUUCACCGCUUCCCGCAUGGGAGGUGGUGGAAAGGGUUUCCGGCUGGGGAUGGGCCCGCGGCCUAUCAGCUUGUUGGUGGGGGAGUGGCCUACCAAGGCGACGACGGGUAGCCGGCCUGAGAGGGUGACCGGCCACACUGGGCCUGGGACACGGCCCAGACUCCUACGGGAGGCCGCAGUGGGGAAUUUUGCGCAAUGGGCGGCAGCCUGACGCAGCGCCGCCGCGUGGGGGAUGACGGCCUUCGGGUUGUAACCCUCUUUCAGCAGGGACGACGCGCAAGUGACGGUACCUGCAGAAGAAGCACCGGCCAACUACGUG